GACGUAGGGGGCAAGCGUUGUUCGGAAUUAUUGGGCGUAAAGCGCUCGUAGGCGGGACAGGAAGUUCGUGUUGAAAGACCUCGGCUCAACUGAGGGACCGGCUCGAAUACUCUUGUUCUUGAGGCAAUCAGAGGGUGAUGGAAUUCCCGGUGUAGCGGUGAAAUGCGUAGAUAUCAGGAGGAACACCAAUGGCGAAGGCAGAUCUCUGGGUCGUAACUGACGCUGAGGAGCGAAAGCAUGGGGAGCGAACAGG
rnacentral:rRNA from 1 species